rnacentral:rRNA from 1 species
AUUGAACGCUAGCGGGAUGCUUUACACAUGCAAGUCGAACGAGUGGCGGACGGGUGAGUAAUGUAUCGGCACGUGCCCAGUAGCGGGGGGUAACUACUCGAAAGAGUGGCUAAUACCGCCUACUAUUGGAGCGGCCUAUAUCGGAUUGGCUCGUGGGUGGGGUAAAGGCUCACAAAGGCAACGAUCCGUAGCUGGUUUGAGAGGACGACCAGCCAAACUGGAACUGAGACACGGCCCAGACCCCUACGGGAGGCAGCAGUGGGGAAUUUUGGAAAAGGGGGGAAACCCGGAUCCAGCAAGCCCGCGUGGAGGAGAAGGCCUUCGGUUUGUAAAGUACUUUUGGCAGGGAAGCGGUAUCUGCAGAAUAAGCACCGGCUAACUACGUGCCAGCAGCCGCGGUAAUUC